AUGAUGGGGUGCAGGCAUGCGCACGUGGAGAAAAUCGAGGAUUUUCUCCACGUGCGCAUGCCUGCACCCCAUGGG